AACUCCUACCAAGACUAUGAUGUGUAGCCGGGCUGAGAGGUUGAACGGCCACAUUGGGACUGAGACACGGCCCAAACUCCUACGGGAGGCAGCAGUAGGGAAUUUUCGGCAAUGGAGGAAACUCUGACCGAGCAACGCCGCGUGAACGAUGAAGUAUUUCGGUACGUAAAGUUCUUUUAUUAGGGAAGAAUAAAUGAUGGAAAAAUCAUUCUGACGGUACCUAAUGAAUAAGCCCCGGCUAACUAUGUGCCAGCAGCCGCGGUAAUACAUAGGGGGCAAGCGUUAUCCGGAAUUAUUGGGCGUAAAGGGUGCGUAGGCGGUUAAAUAAGUUUAUGGUCUAAGUGCAAUGCUUAACAUUGUGAUGCUAUAAAAACUGUUUAGCUAGAGUAAGAUAGAGGCAAGUGGAAUUCCAUGUGUAGUGGUAAAAUGCGUAAAUAUAUGGAGGAACACCAGUAGCGAAGGCGGCUUGCUGGGUCUUUACUGACGCUGAGGCACGAAAGCGUGGGGAGCAAACAGGAUUAGAUACCCUGGUAGUCCACGCCGUAAACGAUGAGUACUAAAUGUUGGGUAAAACCAGUGUUGAAGUUAACACAUUAAGUACUCCGCCUGAGUAGUACGUACGCAAGUAUGAAACUUAAAGGAAUUGACGGGACUCCGCACAAGCGGUGGAUCAUGUUGUUUAAUUCGAAGGUACCCGAAAAACCUCACCAGGUCUUGACAUGCUUCUGCAAAGCUGUAGAAACACAGUGGAGGUUAUCAGUUGCACAGGUGGUGCAUGGUUGUCGUCAGCUCGUGUCGUGAGAUGUUGGGUUAAGUCCCGCAACGAGCGCAACCCUUAUUGUUAGUUGCCAGCACGUAAUGGUGGGGACUUUAGCAAGACUGCCAGUGAUAAAUUGGAGGAAGGUGGGGACGACGUCAAAUCAUCAUGCCCCUUAUGACCUGGGGUAC
rnacentral:rRNA from 1 species